CCUACGGGAGGCAGCAGUAGGGAGUCUUCCGCAAUGGACGAAAGUCUGACGGAGCAACGCCGCGUGAGUGAUGAAGGUUUUCGGAUCGUAAAACUCUGUUGUUAGGGAAGAACAAGUACGAGAGUAACUGCUCGUACCUUGACGGUACCUAACCAGAAAGCCACGGCUAACUACGUGCCAGCAGCCGCGGUAAU
rnacentral:rRNA from 1 species